AACAAAAUACAUAUAAUGGUAGAGGAUGCAUGUGUUACAAAGAAAAAAGAAAACAAAGUCGGGAAAAAAAGAAAAAAAAAGAAAGAAAGAUAAAAGCAAGAUACUUUAGUGAAAUUUUCUCAUUGGUCUAUACCUUUUGACAAGGAUAACUGUCUUAACCAUUGAUCAAUUUGAUCUAAUGGCUCAUAUUACUUCAUUCCUUUUUCUCUCGUUCUCCCAUGUACCUUUUCCUCUGUAAACAAGUAUUAUCUUCUUCUACAAACGAUUCUCUUCCUCUUAACACAAACAAAUCGAUUUCAUCGAUUCUGGUCACCUAAUUCCUUUCUUCUACUCCACUCACAUAAUCUUUUCACCAACCACUAUAGUAUUUUAUCAAACCGAAUCUCUUCCUUCUGCCAUCACCAGAUCUCCUUCACUGUCUACCAAAUCUACUCCUACGAUACGAUGUUGUUGUUGCGCCUGAGACUGGUGUGAGAUGCAGUUAUCGUCGGAGUUGUUCUUGCACACGGAGAUUCGAUGUUUGGCAUCAGAUCUAGAUCGUACAAACAUCUCGGCUCACCGAUCUGGUAUGGAGACAAUCUGGAUGAGACAUUCCGCAUGUAGUGACGAGGCGGAGGAGUGACGAACCAGAGGCAAGGUGUGACGAACUGGAGGCUGAAGCGGAGGCGUGACGAACCGCAGGCAGAGGCGCGACUAACCGAAUGCAGAGGCGUGACGAAUUGAGGCAGUGAUGUGACAAACCAGAGGCUGAGGCGGAGCUGUGCCAGCGAAGUUAAAUCUCCAGUCAAGCUCACGCUUGUGUAUAUGUGUGUAUAUAUGUUAUAUGUAUGAUAUAUAAAUAUGUAUAAGACACCAUAUAUACGAAAAACAUAUUUGUAUUGUUUUUUAAUUCAUUAAUUCUUAAUUUACUAAUUAUUUUUUUUUUAUUUUUUUUUAAUAAAUAGUUACGGAAUAGUCACAAACAUUAAGCGUGACAAAUAUAA
rnacentral:lncRNA from 1 species